rnacentral:rRNA from 1 species
AGUAGAGUGGCGGACGGGCUGAGUAACGCGUGGGAAUCUACCCAGUAGUGGGGGACAACUACCGGAAACGGUAGCUAAUACCGCAUACGCCCUAUGGGGGAAAGGCUUCGGCCGCUAUUGGAUGAGCCCGCGUCAGAUUAGCUAGUUGGUAGGGUAAAGGCCUACCAAGGCAACGAUCUGUAGCUGGUCUGAGAGGACGAACAGCCACACUGGGACUGAGACACGGCCCAGACUCCUACGGGAGGCAGCAGAGGGGAAUAUUGGACAAUGGGCGAAAGCCUGAUCCAGCAAUGCCGCGUGUGUGAAGAAGGCCUGCGGGUUGUAAAGCACUUUCAGUUGGGAAGAUGAUGACGUUACCAACAGAAGAAGCACCGGCUAAAUCCGUGCCAGCAGCCGCGGUAAUACGGAUGGUGCGAGCGUUAAUCGGAAUUACUGGGCGUAAAGCGCGCGUAGGCGGCUAAGUCAGUCAGAAGUGAAAGCCCCGGGCUCAACCUGGGAAUUGCUUUUGAUACUGCUUAGCUAGAGUUUGGUAGAGGAUAGUGGAAUUCCAGGUGUAGCGGUGAAAUGCGUAGAUAUCUGGAGGAACAUCAGUGGCGAAGGCGACUGUCUGGACCAAAACUGACGCUGAGGUGCGAAAGCGUGGGUAGCAAACAGGAUUAGAUACCCUGGUAG